UCUUCAGGUCACUUUAUUUUUUGAAUUGAUUUUGGAGUUAAUGACUUUUUUCCGCCCAAAUAAUGGUGAGUAAUGAUCGAGAAAGAGAAUGGUGGUUGUGUAGAGUUACACCGAUGCCGGAAUUAGAAAUGGAAUAUAGAUUUUUGUAGUAAAAUGAUACUUCAAAAAUAUGUGAGUGGGAAAGUAUGGUUAAACCAUUAUUUGGGUGGAAAAAAGUCCUUUACUCUUGAUUUUGAGUUCAUAUUUACAUUACACAAUUAAGACAGGAAAUGGGUGAAGAUUUAACAUUUUGUAUUCAUUUUUGCCGUAUACAUGGGUCAAGACCAAUUGCACCAAAAUACAAGUUCUUUGAAAGUUCCAUUUCUGUUCCUAAUGCUAUAAUUUCCAUUGUCACCAGAAGAAAAAAGUAAACGCCUGGACUUCUGACUUUGAAUUUUCUCUGCUCAUAAUUUUCAAUGUUCAUUUGGCCCUGCAUAUGAUUUCUGAUAUAUAAGUAACCUGCAAUGUGGUGCUCUUCUCAUACGCAAAAUGGCCAAGUCUUGUAUUUUUUUCAUUCUUCUUCUUUUCCCUCCUGCUUGGCCAUAGAGUUAUUGAGCUUGAAGCCUCAACCCCUGUUUACAGAAACUUUAAGUUAUCUCUAUCUAAUCCAUUUCAAACUUACAGGACAGGUUACCAUUUCCAGCCUGCCAAGAAUUGGAUGAAUGAUCCCAAUGGGCCUAUGUUUUACAAGGGAAUUUAUCACCUAUUUUACCAAUACAAUCC